GAUUAACGCUGGCGGCGUGCAUAACACAUGCAAGUCGAACGAUGAAACUUAAAUGAUUUCUUCGGAAUGAACUUAAGUGGAUUAGUGGCGGACGGGUGAGUAACGCGUGAGUAACCUGCCUUACACAAGGGGAUAGCCGUUGGAAACGACGAAUAAUACCCUAUGAAACUAUUACUUCGCAUGAAGCGAUAGUCAAAGUGUUAGCGGUGUAAGAUGGACUUGCGUCUGAUUAGCUAGUUGGUGAGAAAAAAGCCCACCAAGGCAACGAUCAGUAGCCGGCUUGAGAGAGUGUACGGCCACAUUGGGACUGAGACACGGCCCAGACUCCUACGGGAGGCAGCAGUGGGGAAUUUUGCACAAUGGGGGAAACCCUGAUGCAGCGACGCCGCGUGAUUUAGAAGGCCUUCGGGUUGUAAAAAUCUUUUGUAUAGGAAGAAAAUGACAGUACUAUACGAAUAAGGUCCGGCUAAUUACGUG
rnacentral:rRNA from 1 species